UGGUGGGUCAUGCGUGUAAUCCCAGCAGUUUGGGAGGCUGAGGUGUGAGGCUUGCUUGUGCCCGGGAGGUUGAGUGUGCAGUGAGCCAUGAUUGCACCACUGCACUCCAGCCUGGGCAACAGAGUGAGACCCUGUCUCAAAAAAA